GGGGGGGGGGGGGGGGGGGGGGGGGGGGGGGGGGGGGGGGGGGGGGGGGGGGGGGGGGGGGGGGGGGGGGGGGGGCGCUCCCCCGCACGCAGCACCCGCGCACCUUCCCCCGCACUCCCCCGCACGGCCGCAGGAAGCUCCGCACCGCUCCCGCCCCGCGCCGCGCCGCGGCUCCGGCGGUGAUAAAGUGCAGGGUAAGCGGGUGCCACUGUACAGAAAUAGCUGACAUGAAACCCACAGAAGAAGGCUCCCUUCAAAGACACUAUUUGGCAUGCAAAGUGCCCUGGAUGCACAGCAGAACAGACUCCUGACCAAGACUCAGUCACCUGAGCACACACCAAAGGGACUCCCAGGAAAGGCAAAAGCUUGGAGGAUG
rnacentral:lncRNA from 12 species